ensembl:lncRNA
GUAAAAAGACACAGAACAUGCAUAGUAAUUCUUGCUCCAAAAACAGCCAAGCAGUGAGGAUCCUACACGCCAGCUUUCAUCCCGAUGGCUCAGCAAUGUGGGUCCUGUGGUUCUCAGAGGACGUGUACAUGGAGGCCCCAUUCUCAGGCCUCCUGGCUUCCCGCCUACACAACAGCAGCACGUUGGAGGGUUGGGUGUAGGAGGCUGAUGGACAAGGGAGUGAGAAAAAACAGAAUCAUGCUAUGUGUAUCAGCAUCAUGCCGGCUUCUGAGCCAUGUUAGGCCCUGACUGUGGGGUUUGAGGCAAUGCACAUUUAUUUCUUACAAAAUCUAUCGAUGCAGGUGGUCCCAGGUGGUAGCAUAUUCCCCCAAACUCAGAGGCCCAGGCCCUGCCAUCUAUGACUGCCCCAUCCCACAGGACCCUGCAGGCCUCAGUGGCCCCAUCACCUGAGCCUGGAGGUCUACACAUCCCCUCCAUCCUCCCACAACUCACCCGGACCCAGGCAUCCAGGAAAUGUGCUCCUAGCUGAAAAGUAGCUUCCCACCUCCAUUUCUUGCUGCUGGGGAAAACAUCUGGGGUGAACAGCUAGCUCUUCAUCCACAGGGAGAUAAUGGGGGCAAAGGAGACCCCCAUUAGUGGACACCCCUCCAGCCUUGUGCUGGGCUUGCCCAGUGUAGCCCGGGGAGUCCCUCCCAUCCAGGGAACAUGGAGAGAGUAGACAGUCCUCCCCUCCUGAGCAGUAUGACCCAGACAACAACCUCGACAGGGAGAGGGUGAGACCCAGCUCCCCUCCACAGAAGUGGAGUAGGGGCCGUGGGAGCAGGUGCACAAGCCGGCUCCCACCGCUUCUGCCCACAGGCUCAGGAGAACCCAAAGUCGAGUGAGACGCAGCAUUCCGAAGCAGAGACAGGGAUGCACAGAGUCUGGAAUCAGAGCAGAAGAGGUGUGAAGACACACAGGAGCAGAGAGCUUUACCAUGUGAGGCUGAAGCACAAGAGGCUUGAUUCAUUUCCCCGUCCACCACCCCACAACACAAACCCCACGGAGCACUUGAAACGACCACACUACGAACACAGAGUCAGGAGAUGGGCUUUGGGACAGGACGGGGCCACAGCACCCAGGAGCCGGGGUGGGCUGGUGAGCACGGGCUUGUGUUGUGACUUCAAGGCCCCACCCACGCACCAAGCCCACUUCAACAAAAUCCACAAGCACGUUCUGUGGCUGCACCAGCUGCUAGCCAGAUGCCUCCGGUUCUGAAGCACCUGUCACCCGUCCCCAGGCCACUGCCAGAGCCUGGCUUCUGCAAGCACUAAUGAGAACUGUCUUGUUUGCAUUUAUAUAUUUAUGAGAGACCCCAGCACACUUGCAUCUUCUCUGUUCUGCAUUUGGAGAAAAUGCAGCCAUUUCAAAGAUGAGAAAAGGAGACCACAACAUUUUAGAAAAAAACAGACCAGGAGGAUCAUAUUUCACCGAGUAAAUUGACAAAAGGUCAAAAAACUUGAUCUUUACCACUGAUGUGCUUUGUCUGAAAGCUGAACUACCAUUUAAAUAUUUAUAGGCGAGCGCUGUAACUGCAGCCUAGGGUCCUGAGUCCAGUGGAAGCCAGGCUGGGACGGCUGUACGAGAAAGAAACAAGCCAGUUCCUUCCCAGGGAGGCUCUGCGCAGGGACAGGCCAGUGGUCCUACUUGGGAUGGUUCCGCACCUGCCACCCACCAGUGGCCACUGAGCUUGGAAGCAUCACUGCGAGCGCGUGAGCCCGUGGCUUCAGGCAGGAGGGAAGGGACGGAGGCAGACAGGAGCACUGAGCGGGAGCAUCAGGCAGGAGCAUCACGGCCUGGAUGCACAUGCUCAGCCCAGCUCUGUCUGGGGAACACCCCAGCCGCAGUGCCCACACUCAGUGCCCACAUCGUGGUUGCUAACUAUUGUUCUCCACCAAAAGAAACCAGGGUCCUUGGAAAAGGACCUCCAAGGGGGCUAAUUCUGGGACUGGAGCAGGGAGAGUGCCUGCUGAGCCGGGAGCAUUGUAUUAUGGAGGAAAUGAUGGCCACAGAGAGCGCGGGAAUCAGGAGGGAGCUCCCUGGGCUCAUUACCCUGCACAUUAAAAUACACGAUGAUAAUAGGUCUAACCACUGAAC